CACAAAAUGAGCUGGCUCAUUUAGCUAUUGUAAAUUAAAACAAAAAAUGUUAGACGCUGUGCAGGGCAAACAAAAUAACCCUAAGGGUCACAAACACCCUCUGGGCACCAGUCUGGGGCCUCUGUAGCUCCACUCACCUCCUAGCAUGCGGCCCACCACUUCCAGGGUAGUCAGGGCUUCCACCCCACACUGGCCCAGGGCAGCUUCAUCCUGAGGGGAAAUCUGCCAGAAGCACAUCCUUAGCCUCAGGAGUGAGGCCCUUCAGGGAGCUAGCUACAUGGGAUAAGGAAGGAAAGGCAGAGCCAAGAGUAUUCUCUUGGGAAGCCACAGGAUUGGCAAAGGGCGGAUGGCUCAGUGAUACUCUGUUAUCUUUGCCUAGAUCUGGACAACGGUUUCCAGGCCCGGUCACUUCAAGAGUGUGCAGCUCCUGGCCACAGACAAGCAACUGCAUCUUGGCGACUGGAGAACAGAGAAUAAUGAGGAAAUCUAAGAGCCAGGGGAAACUUUGAGCACUCUGGCCUAGCACCAAUGCCAACGGUCCUGCAGGUCUGCUGUGCCCCAGCUGCCUGGGGUCAGAGACAUGCCCACCUGCCUUGCCUGCUGUCCUCCAUCUCAGCCAUCGUCAGCUGUGGAAUCUCUCCUGGGAACUGCCUUGACUGGAAGAUGAAGUCGGAAGCACAGGGUCCCCACCAGUCUCUCCUCUCACCGACUCAGCAUGGCCUGCGUUCCGGGACCCAGAGGUACAAGGGGCUCACUGUGGACCCUGGGCAGUACCUCCCCCAGCUCUCCCUCUCAGCCCCUUGCCCGCAGCACCCACUGCUCCCAGGCCAGGCUCUGCCUCCCCUGGGCUCACGACCG
ensembl:lncRNA